GCGUGAGGGAGGGAGAGAGAGAGAGAGAGAGCGCAAAGAGAAAGACAGAGGUGGAUCCUGGACAGAAACCUCUCUUCUUCACAGCUACCAGACAAUAGAGGGUUAGAAGAACAAUGUCCUGACUGAUGUCUACGUGUCAGUUUCAGUCCACAAAGAUACUUGCUGGAUUUUUGGAGGGAACCAUUUUGCGAUGAAGCACUCCUUUCGAAGACGGGUAUUCUUGGGUAGAUAAUACGGAUUGCGUUGUUAUUGCUUGAGAAUACGCGUAGUUGAGGGGAGAUGUGUUCUUCAGUUUGUCUGUCAUUUUAUUUGAAUUCCUGUGAAACGGCUUCUCACCAUCAGCUGGCACCCCCUGAAAAUUAUUGUUUUUCUUAUAAGAAUGAGACCUAGUUUGCAAGACAGCCAAAUGACAAAUGUGCUUAUUGUGGGAAUGUAUCGUUUCUUUAACAUGUAUCUGGAAACGUGAUUUUUUUUUUCUUUUUGUAACAAUUCACUGAACAAAAGACAACACAAUGAUCAACAGGGCAAUUAAACUAUUAAUUACAGUAUAAAGCUAGCAGUCCUUCUAUUUAAAGAUGAAAGUCUGGCAUGAAGCAGAAUGGUAAGAUAGUUACCUGAAAUGUUUUGUAGUUUAAUAUAAACAGCAGAAUUGUCUUUGUGUUUUAUAAUUAAAAUGUUUAUUUUAAUAAUAAGCUUUAUUUUCCUUAUUGUGUUAUAAAAUGACAUUUUGGAUGACUCUGUCUUUCAAGAGUGUUUAAAUACAAUAUGACAAAUAUAUGUUAGCACUUUUUGAUAUGUUACCCAAGAUUUCUUUUGUCUUCACUGAGAGAUUAAAAAAGUCUAUGCAUAUGA